UACAGAGGGUGCAAGCGUUGUUCGGAAUUAUUGGGCGUAAAGCGCGUGUAGGCGGCUUUGCAAGUCGGGUGUGAAAGCCCUCAGCUCAACUGAGGAAGUGCGCCCGAAACUGCAGAGCUUGAGUGCCGGAGAGGGUGGCGGAAUUCCAGGUGUAGCGGUGAAAUGCGUAGAGAUCGGGAGGAACACCAGAGGCGAAGGCGGCGACCUGGACAGUUACUGACACUCAACUACGAAAGCGUGGGGAGCAAACAGG
rnacentral:rRNA from 1 species